CCUACAUUUGCAAUGUCUUGCUUUUACCUAACAAAGUCCUUCUGUGAUGAACUAAGUUCAUUGGUAGGAGACUAUUGGUGGAGCCAACAAGAUAAAUCCCAUUGCACCCACUGGAUCGGAUGGAAAACUCUCAUUAAGCCCAAAGCACAAGGGGGUUUAGGGUUCCGUGACAUGCAUGACUUCAACUUGGCUCUUCUAUCCAGGCAGAUUUGGCGACUGAUUCAGCAUCCUGAAUCCCUCUGUGCCCAAACGCUGAAAGCGCGUUAUUUCCCCAACGGACAGAUUCUUGAAGCGGCUCCUAGGGACGGCAUCUCCUAUUCAUGGUGCAGCCUCCUACAUGGUCUUCAUCUUUUCAGGGAGGGGUACAUUUGGAGAAUUGGAGAUGGCACCCAAGUGAAUAUUUGGUCCCAUCCCUGGAUUCCACGG
rnacentral:rRNA from 1 species